ensembl:lncRNA
GGCUAAAGUGGGGGCUACUGUGGUCACGCACACUGUCAUGUCUUACUUUCAAGUGCUUGACUCUUCUGCUUUAAUCCUAGACCUGUCUGCUGUUGUGGCAUCAGUUAUGAAAACCUUCAGCUGGCACGUUGAAGUUACUUAGGUGAUUUCGCAUGUCUUUCGCUCCUUAGUGCAUAUGGGUGCAAAGGUUGUCUGUUUCAGAUUUCACAUGCCAUUCAAGCAAUAUAGCAAGAAUUUUCAGUGAAAUGGAAAUGAAAAUUAAUUAUCUGUGCCAUCAAAAUUACUUCAUGAUAAUUAUAUUUUUAAUUGCAUAUAGUAGAGAUCCUUCUUCACAUAGAAUUUCUGCUUUCUUUACAGUACCAUUACUAGGGCUCAAUAAGGAAAAACAAAGAGGAAAAGAGAUUGCAUAACUUGCUCCCAUUUACAAGUAUAAUUGUCUGUACAAAAUUGAACUUGGACAAAGCAAACAGAGUUUCUUUUCUGCAUUCAAACACCUGGUUAUUACAGAGAAGUAGCUUUGAAAAACAUUAGAGAAUACAGUAAGAAUGAAAGCAAUGCUUACUUGUCUAAAAACUAGAAUCCAAGAACAGCUACCUUUUCUAGUAUAAUUAACUCAAUACAGAGAAUCUUAGAACAGUGAUAUUAUUUCCUUUGAAAUUCUCACAGAGAUUAAAUUCUGACACACAUUUCACAGUUUCAAGCAGAUUCAGUCAAAUUUGACCCAUCUCUUAAAAUCCCUAUCUUUACAACUUGUGUUGCAAGUAACAUCUGUCUGAAUUGUAUCCUGCUGCUAAGUCCUUGUACUCUCUGCUGUCUGGAGGUUAACUUCUGCCCUGCUGGCAUAUGUACAUAGGUUCUGCUUGGAAAUAAGAUGCUCAGCAUUUUUCCAAUCUGUUAAUUGAAAAAAUGUAAAAAUGUUUUACAAUUUUCAGCAGCCAAAUGUAGGAAGCAAAAGACUACACAGAGCUUGUGUUCUAUAAACAAAAUUAGUCUGCCUACACAUGAUGACAGAAUCCAUUAUAGGCUUAUCCAUCAUUUUAAGCAUCCUAGAAAUAUUUAAAUGUAAUAAAUAUCAUAGCAACAAGAGGAGAUGAAGCCAGACAUACCUGCCUGACUCUUAACACCACAUAAUUCUUCUUUGCAUGUAAAGUAUGACCUACAACUCAUAAAAUAGUGCCUCUUCAGAAAUUGGUACCCCUUCUACCCUUAACUCACCCUCAGUUGUUCAAUGCCAUAUUAUUUUUGUUGAGGUGUUUGCUGCAUACUCAGGCCAGCUUUACCAUCUCCCUCUGUAGGUCCUCUGUCACAUGGUUGUCAAACUUCUUUUUCAAAAAGAAAAUAUAUUUUCAGAAAGUUGAUUUUUUAUAGAUAAUAGAUGUUUAGGGGGAAAAAAUAGGAAGCAGUACAUGUGACAACAAACCUGAAAGGGUAUAUAAACAUACCCUGUGGUGGGAGUGCAGGCACCAGCAGGUGGCAGCAAGCUGGGCAAUAAGACUUCAAUCUGCCUUCUGACUUCAAUCAGCAAGCAGAGCAGCAUCUCUGCUCAAGGGCCUGAGGAAGAGACACAGAUAAGAAAGAGUGGUGAAGCCUAAUUUAUGUUCCCUAGUAGUUUAACAAGAACAUGCAAACUCAUUUCAAGAGCAGUCAUGUUGUCUGUGUCUGGAUACCAUUCUUUACUAAAAUAUUAGAGGGAAGAGAUACAGGUUUGGAGUAUUAUAAGGCUGAUUGAAUUGGAACAUUCAAUAAGAAGACUGUGCAAGAGGAAUCUUAAUCUACUUAAUCUGCAGAUGUUUGCAGCAAAUUUGGCAUCGCUUCUGGACCAACUUGAAUAUUUGCUUAGACUUUGUGGAAAAAAGCAUUAUUUGCAUCAGGUAGACAUGGGAAAACCAAUGUAUUCUUAUCUGUAUUUAUUGUUAGAAAAGUUUUCAGUAGAACUUUUAGUCUCAUUUACAGCCCAGUAAAAUUAAUGAAAAUAUUAACCUCAACAAUUAUUGAAUUUUUAGAUUAAACUUUAUUCUAGUGUCUAUUCCUCUGCCAUGUCAGAUGGGGCGUGACCAGUGACUUCAAAAGGAUCAGGAGGAGACCUACAGUAUCACAAAAGAAACAUCUACAUAGGUAAAAUGGGUAGUCCUAAUUUUAAGGAGUGAACAAGUAAGUCAAGAUGUCAUUAUUCCAACUUCUAUAGCCCACUGAACAUAUAAAUAAUCUUUUUAUCUUUAUAGCUAUACACUAUAUAUAUAUAUAUAUGUAUAAAAAUAUUAAAAUACAAUAACUUAACACUGGGUAACUUCUAAUGAUAAAUUUUCAUUAAUAAUACGGGUCUAUUUUUAUGUAAAUAUAUUAUUGUAGAGUAUCUUCCAGUCUUUUUCAGGAUUGUUAAACUGAGAAGAGCAAUUGAAUAUUUGUCCUAUUUUUAUGUUAAAAAGUGAAUGGACUGAAAUGUUAAAUGUGAAUGUAAAUUUCUUAUUGCAACUUUUAUACUAAGUGUUUGCACUAUUAUAAUUUCUGGAAUCAAAUUAAAAAU